rnacentral:ncRNA from 2 species
ACGAAUAUGAAACAAUUAGGUUUCUUACAUUUUUAAAAUGUAAGAUGAAAAGGGAAGUUGGUGAAAGUCCAACACGGUCCCGCCACUGUAAUCGUUGAGGGAAGCUAACAUAUCUCCACUGUGUUUAUUCAUGGGAAGGAGUAGCUAACUGUUGAAGCGUAAGUCAGGAGACCUGCCUAGUCUGUUUUUUAAGC